rnacentral:rRNA from 1 species
GACGAACGCUGGCGGCGCGCUUAACACAUGCAAGUCGAGCGAUAACCAUGGCUUCGGCCAUGGGGAGAGCGGCGAACGGGUGAGUAACACGUGAGUAAUCUGCCCUCGACACUGGGAUAGCCCGGGGGAAACCCGGAUUAAUACCGGAUAGCCUCUCGAGCUUUCGGGCUCGUGAGAAAAGAUGGCUUCGGCUUUCGGUUGAGGAGGAGCUUGCGGCGGAUUAGCUUGUUGGUGAGGAACGGCCCACCAAGGCGACGAUCCGUAGCUGGUCUGAGAGGACGAUCAGCCACACUGGGACUGAGACACGGCCCAGACUCCUACGGGAGCAGCAGUGGGGAAUCUUGCGCAAUGGGCGAAAGCCUGACGCAGCGACGCCGCGUGAGGGAAGAAGGCCUGGUGUAAC